rnacentral:lncRNA from 1 species
AAAAAUGUUCCAAUAAAAGAGCUAGUAGCCACUUGGAAAGGUGAUCAACUGAGUAACUGGGGGUGGGUAUCACAAAUAUGUACCUUCACGUCAAAAGGUUGAUGACUUUUUCAAGCAAAAUCAAAGUGCAAAAAACCUGAAUAAAGUACUUCAAGGUAAGGGCAAGUUAAUCCAAAAGCUAGAAAAAGUCUUAACAAAUUAAUGUGCAUGUCUCUCUUGAGGAAAACAAAUCCUAGCCAUGGUCAGCAAAAGGAAACAAGGAAAAGAGGUGAGUAAUCUUCAUGCAUAUAUUCUUCACUGCAAUGAUUCAAAAUAGGUGUCUAGAGUAAGAGCUUAAGUGGAAAUAAGGAUCUAGAGUGAGAAAGCUUAUUUGAAUAUGUUUAUUUGCUUGAGGACAAGCAAAAGCUUAAGUGUGGAGGUAUUUGAUAGAGCAUAAAUUAGUCCAUUUUAUAUUAAUAUUAUUAAUAAAUAUUUACAUGAUUUCUGCCUAAUUUAGUGUUUUUAAUAUUAUUUUGCAGAAAAUGGUGU